AAAACGUCAAGUGUCAUUGAUCGGAAAACAAAAUAAAAACAACGAAAAGAAGAAGAUGAACAAGAAAACAAAAAAGAGGAUUUUGCAAUCGAUUCCUUAAAAUCAAAAGGUGAUAUCUGGAAAUAUGCAGACAGUGCAUCCCCUGCCUGAUCUGUCCGUCCGCAAUCCGGUACAAUUGUCUCGGCCAUCAGAAGUCACAAAGUGUCUGGAUGGUUUAUUUUUCUGCAGCAACACACCCGGAAUAAGCGAUUUUCUGUCGUAUUGGCUGCCGGGACUAUUAUGCAGCUGUGGCGAAAUGUGUCCUGCAGGAGAUGGCUUAAGAAAAGCCCUCGGAAAACUUCCUGAUCCGUUGUUUCGUCUUUCGGAGCUGCUGCAUAGCUGUGGCAACGGAAACCAGAAAGAUGAUACCCAUUUAAAAUCAAAACCCCCUAGAAUCAACUAUACAGAAUUCCAAGAACCAUUGUCCGAAGUCCGAACUAUAAGGUAACAUAAAUAAAAAUUGAAUAAAAAGUGAA